rnacentral:lncRNA from 1 species
UCCAAGUUAUGAUAAUUGUGUAUUUUGUUUAUGCAACGAAAGAGAGUGGUAGAUGAGGUACCCAGUGUUCUCAUCAUGUACGAACAAUAUCAAGUAGCCAUCAUCCUCAUCACAUUCUGUCCCAGGCUGACAGGGAACAAAUAUUGCCUCUGAGCCAAAUCUUCCAGGUCCAAGGUCGAAUUCACAUUUUGUCCCAGGUUGACGGGGAACAAAUAUUGCCUCUGAGCCAAAUCUUCCAGGUCCAAGGUCGAAGAUUCCAAGAACGUUACCGCCGACUUCGAGCUUUGCUUUUCCAGUAUCUGGUUCCGCAUGCAAAUCAAAUUUGACAACUCCUGUGAUCUUGGCCAUGUGGUUUAAAAUGGUUCAAUAUACAUAGCGUUGCUUCCUAAAGUUUACAAAAGUCACUAUCAUUAUGACGGCACAAGGAAGAUUUUCUAAGCAAACCUCUAGGCAGACAAGAAAAGAAAUGAAAAUUAGAUGAUCAAGUCACUACAAUUAAGCAUUCUCUCAGCACUAUGAAAAAAGAGAUAGAAGCAAAAUAGACAGCCAGCAGAUAAAGGUAUUACGCAGAACUUUAACAUCCAUUAAUCCACAUCCUGGCUAUUUUAUGUAGUGUAGGAAUUUCAGAAUUAAAAUGAAAAUUUUGUAACAGCUGACCUUCCAGUGUAGUUCUCGUUGACCCGUGGAAAAUCAACAGCAGACUCUGACAGUUUUUUCUGUGAUGCUAGACCAGUCUUCAUAUU